rnacentral:rRNA from 1 species
UACGUAGGGGGCUAGCGUUGCUCGGAAUCACUGGGCGUAAAGCGCACGUAGGCGGAUUGUUAAGUCAGGGGUGAAAUCCUGGAGCUCAACUCCAGAACUGCCUUUGAUACUGGCAAUCUCGAGUUCGGGAGAGGUGAGUGGAACUGCGAGUGUAGAGGUGAAAUUCGUAGAUAUUCGCAAGAACACCAGUGGCGAAGGCGGACUCACUGGCCCGAUACUGACGCUGAGGUGGCGAAAGCG